AGAACAGAAAAUGAUUGUUCUGUAAAUUUGACAUGCACAACAAUAGAGGUCGACUCAUAGGAUCGACUCAUACACAGGGGUCGACUCAUGGGGUCGACUCAAUUGGGUAUGCCAGUCAAAAAAUAGCAUGUCGUUCCACCCCAUUUGAUAUGAGUCGACUCAUGGGGUCGACUUAAUUUUAUAAAUAUUAUUUUUUUUCAAAAUACACAUCCAAAAAUAUUGAGAUUGCCUCCAAA
rnacentral:lncRNA from 1 species